CCAAUCAGGAGGCGGCGAGAGGCGCGUGCCCUCGCUUUGCGCUGAAAAACGGCGAGAUUUGGGGGAGAUUUUUAUACAGUGUGGAUUCAAAGCGACCAUCUCACACACACACACACAGAGCGCGGGGACGCAGACAGGAGCGGACACAGCAGCGGGGUAUUACAGCGUCUCCAUCCGGGAGAUCUGAGGGACAGCCUCAGAGAGAGAGAGAGAGAGCGCUGCUGCUGAGGAUCUCUGCCUGUUUCCUCCAACAGCUUCAUCAGUGAUGUGGUCAGGAUCUUCCACUUCCUAAGAGUGUGCCCUUAUUGAUCAACAACGUCGAAAGUCGCCUACUUUAAGAGGAAGUAUGCGGAAGAGGAGGAUGUCCAGGGACGCCUACAUGGAUAUUUACAAAAACACCUGAUCUUACACGAGGAACGCAGCUGCAUUUUGCGUCUGUCGCUGCAGAAGCUGCGUUUCCUGGACGACCCCGAGGCCUUCCUGCGCCGCGCCGUUCUCAUCAACAACCUGCUGCGCAAGAUCCACUCAGACGAUGGGCAGAGGGACAGAGACAGACCGAGGAAUGGCGAGAAAGAAGAAGAAGAAAAGGAGAGGCUUUUUUACUUGGACAGGAAGAGACUGAAGGUCAUGGUGACACCUGAACACGGACAUUCCAUCUUCCUCUAUCCACUUGAUAACAACUGCUGAUGUCCCACUUUACUGAAGUAAACCCAGCAGUGAUGAUGACGGAGGAUGGAGGUGG